UAGCUCAAUUGGUCGAGUGCUGGACUGGCAUACCAAAGAACCUGGGUUCAAACCCCAG
rnacentral:tRNA from 1 species